GACGAACGCUGGCGGCGCGCUUAACACAUGCAAGUCGAGCGAAGCGGCGGACGGGUGAGUCACACGUGAGUAACCUGCCUUAGACAUUGGGAUAGCCUCGGGAAACCGGGUUUAAUACCAAAUGGUCUAAGAUGGACUCGCGUCCCAUUAGCUAGUUGGUGGGUAACGGCCCACCAAGGGGACGAUGGGUAGCCGGCCGGAGAGGGGGGACGGAGACAUUGGAGCUGGGCAGCGGUCGAGAAUCUACGGGAGGGAGCAGUGCGGAAUAUAGCACAAUGGAGGGAGCGCUGAUGCAGCGACGGCGCGUGAACAAAGAAGGCUUUCGAGACGUAAAGUUCUUUUAUAUGGGAAGCGGUACCAGAAGAAAAAGCCCCGGCUAACUACGUGCCAGCAGCCGCGGUAAUUC
rnacentral:rRNA from 1 species